AGGCUUAACACAUGCAAGUCGUGCGAGAAAGUAUCUUCGGAUAUGAGUAUAGCGGCGGACGGGUGAGUAACGCGUAGGAAUCUACCUAGUAGAAGGGGAUAGCCCGAGGAAACUCGGAUUAAUACCGUAUACCUCCUUUGGGAGAAAGAGGGCCUCUCUUGAUGCUCUCGCUAUUAGAUGAGCCUGCGUAAGAUUAGCUUGUUGGUGAGGUAAUGGCUCACCAAGGCUACGAUCUUUAGCUGGUCUGAGAGGACGAUCAGCCACAUUGGGACUGAGACACGGCCCAGACUCCUACGGGAGGCAGCAGUGGGGAAUAUUGGACAAUGGGCGCAAGCCUGAUCCAGCCAUACCGCGUGUGUGAAGAAGGCCCUAGGGUUGUAAAGCACUUUAAGCAGGGAGAAAAAGCUAUAAGUUAAUACCUUAUAGCCCUGAUGUUACCUGCAGAAUAAGCACCGGCUAAUUCCGUGCCAGCAGCCGCGGUAAUACGGAAGGUGCAAGCGUUAAUCGGAAUUACUGGGCGUAAAGCGCGCGUAGGUGGUUUGUUAAGUUGGAUGUGAAAGCCCUGGGCUCAACCUAGGAACUGCAUCCAAAACUAACUCACUUGAGUACGAUAGAGGGAGGUAGAAUUCAUAGUGUAGCGGUGGAAUGCGUAGAUAUUAUGAAGAAUACCAGUGGCGAAGGCGGCCUCCUGGAUCUGUACUGACACUGAGGUGCGAAAGCGUGGGUAGCGAACAGGAUUAGAUACCCUGGUAGUCCACGCCGUAAACGAUGACAACUAGCUGUUGGGAGACAAAGUCUUUCAGUGGCGCAGCUAACGUUUUAAGUUGUCCGCCU
rnacentral:rRNA from 1 species